CAGAUCAUUCAUGGAAAGCCAUCUUCUAUAUUAAAAAUGCCACUGCUAGUACAACACAAGAAAUCAGAUGCCGGUAGAGUGAGCAUCGGGCAGAGGGGAUAACUGCUCAACGGAUUCAGCUUCGUCACAGAUUGUUCAGCAGGAAGAUGAAGUGAGCCCCCGUACGGAGUGACUCCCCAGGAAGAGAAAACGAG